GAUGAAGAACGCAGUGAAAUGCGAUAAGUAAUGUGAAUUGCAGAUUUCAGUGAAUCAUCGAAUCUUUGAACGCACAUUGCGCCCGCCAGUAUUCUGGCGGGCAUGCCUGUUCGAGCGUCAUUACAACCCUCAGGCCCCCGGGCCUGGCGUUGGGGAUCGGCGGAGCCCCCCGUGGGCACACGCCGUCCCCCAAAUGCAGUGGCGGUCCCGCCGCAGCUUCCAUCGCGUAGUAGCUAACACCUCGCGACUGGAGAGCGGCGCGGCCACGCCGUAAAACACCCAACUCUUCUGAAGUUGACCUCGAAUCAGGUAGGAAUACCCGCUGAACUUAAGCAUAUCAAUAAGCGGAGGA
rnacentral:misc_RNA from 1 species